rnacentral:rRNA from 1 species
CUGAGUACGGCGGAACACGUGAAAUUCCGUCGGAAUCCGGGAGGACCAUCUCCCAAGGCUAAAUACUCCCUAGUGACCGAUAGUGAACCAGUACCGUGAGGGAAAGGUGAAAAGCACCCCGGAAGGGGAGUGAAACAGUUCCUGAAACCGUGUGCCUACAAGUAGUUAGAGCCCGUUAAUGGGUGAUAGCGUGCCUUUUGUAGAAUGAACCGGCGAGUUACGAUUUGUUGCAAGGUUAAGCGGAAAAAGCGGAGCCGUAGCGAAAGCGAGUCUGAAUAGGGCGCAUAAGUAACAGGUCGUAGACCCGAAACCAGGUGAUCUACCCAUGUCCAGGAUGAAGGUAAGGUAAUACUUACUGGAGGUCCGAACCCACGCACGUUGAAAAGUGCGGGGAUGAGGUGUGGGUAGCGGAGAAAUUCCAAUCGAACUUGGAGAUAGCUGGUUCUCUCCGAAAUAGCUUUAGGGCUAGCCUCGAGGUAAAGAGUCAUGGAGGUAGAGCACUGUUUGGACUAGGGGCCCUUCUCGGGUUACCGAAUUCAGAUAAACUCCGAAUGCCAUGUACUUAUACUCGGGAGUCAGACUGCGAGUGAUAAGAUCCGUAGUCGAAAGGGAAACAGCCCAGACCACCAGUUAAGGUCCCCAAAUAUAUGUUAAGUGGAAAAGGAUGUGGGGUUGCUUAGACAACCAGGAUGUUGGCUUAGAAGCAGCCACCAUUGAAAGAGUGCGUAAUAGCUCACUGGUCGAGUGACCCCGCGCCGAAAAUGUACCGGGGCUAAACAUAUUACCGAAACUGUGGAUGAACCUCUUUAGAGGUUCGUGGUAGGAGAGCGUUCUAAGGGCGGUGAAGUCAGACCGGAAGGACUGGUGGAGCGCUUAGAAGUGAGAAUGCCGGUAUGAGUAGCGAAAGAAGGGUGAGAAUCCCUUCCACCGAAUAUCUAAGGUUUCCUGAGGAAGGCUCGUCCGCUCAGGGUUAGUCGGGACCUAAGCCGAGGCCGAUAGGCGUAGGCGAUGGACAACAGGUAGAGAUUCCUGUACCAGUGCUAAUUGUUUAACCGAUGGGGUGACACAGAAGGAUAGGGAAUCGCACGAAUGGAAAUGUGCGUCCAAGCAGUGAGUGUGAGAAGUAGGCAAAUCCGCUUCUCGCGAAGCAUGAGCUGUGAUGGGGAAGGAAAUUAAGUACGGAAGUUCCUGAUUUCACGCUGUCAAGAAAAGCCUCUAGGAAGAGUAGUACUGCCCGUACCGCAAACCGACACAGGUAGAUGAGGAGAGAAUCCUAAGGUGAGCGAGAGAACUCUCGUUAAGGAACUCGGCAAAAUGACCCCGUAACUUCGGGAGAAGGGGUGCUCUAUUAGGGUGCAAGCCCGAGAGAGCCGCAGUGAAUAGGCCCAGGCGACUGUUUAGCAAAAACACAGGUCUCUGCAAAACCGUAAGGUGACGUAUAGGGGCUGACGCCUGCCCGGUGCUGGAAGGUUAAGAGGAGUGCUUAGCUUCGGCGAAGGUACGAAUUGAAGCCCCAGUAAACGGCGGCCGUAACUAUAACGGUCCUAAGGUAGCGAAAUUCCUUGUCGGGUAAGUUCCGACCCGCACGAAAGGCGCAACGAUCUGGGCACUGUCUCAACGAGAGACUCGGUGAAAUUAUAGUACCUGUGAAGAUGCAGGUUACCCGCGACAGGACGGAAAGACCCCGUGGAGCUUUACUGCAACCUGAUAUGGAAUGUUUGUACCGCUUGUACAGGAUAGGUAGGAGCCGAAGAGACGU